GGGGAUCUAGCUCAUUGGUAGAGUACUUGCCUAGCAAGCACAAGGCCCUGGGUUCGGUCCCCAGCUCCA
rnacentral:tRNA from 1 species